UUCUUUUCCCAUGGACUUGACGGAUCCGGAACCUCGAGGACCCAGGAGUCUGAGAAACAAAUCAGAAAUCGGGAGAAGCCUGUCUGAGUGCCCCAACCAACGCCGUAGCAACAGCGGGGUCUCUGCUUGAAGGACGCUUCGGACCACCAAUCCGAGUGGCCACUGUCUUUUAAAACUAAAUUGAGCCAAACCAAUCGUGGCCGUGGAACUCGGGGCGCAGUGGAACCAAUGGGGUGACGAGGUGGCAGCAGGCAGGCGGGGCUAGGAGCGCCAGGAGACCUUUGGUGACGUGAGCGACAGUGCGCGCCGGGGCGAAAAGCUCCCGAACUGGGGAAUUAGCUCUAGUAGCAGAGCGCUCGCUUAGCAUGUUAGAGGGGGUGGGAUCAAUGCCGGCUUUCUCCGCGGCCGCAUUUUACUAGGGGGUCACCUCCCGCGGUCACUGUAUCCGAGCAGGUGGCAACCCCGGAAGUGGGCUCUAGAUGUGGAGUUGCUGAAUGCCUCUAGCUGGGCCCCCCACCUUCACGAGGGAGGGGAGACACACAGAACGGGGCGGGGGGGGGUCCCUUUUAUUUGGAGGAAGGAUUGACACUCUAGUCAUCUUCCAGGUUGAUGAUCUGGCCCGUUUCCCCGCCAGGUUCCCUUUUCAGGUGAGGACCAGGUCCUGGACCUCAGGAUCCCUGCCCCCGAACUGCCUGGGGCAAGGAGGAUUGCUCACUUUGUACCACUGCAAGUAACCUGCCCUGUUCCUGUGGACUCUCCGCAUCCCCCGAAACCCAACUGGCAAAAGCUGGAAGAACCUGGGCAAUUGAGUUAGGUGCGCUGGAGCUGCCUGCCAGGGACAGCACUGUCACUCACACCAGAGAGCCCUAGAGGGCGGCUCCCAGGUCCCAUGAAACUGCCCCCAACACACACCGCCUAAGAAACAGCAGGUGACAAGAAGGUGAACAAUCUGGGGGCCUGGCAGAGAGACCCCGUAGUGGGACUUUGUGUGCAGGAAGUGGGAGAUGGAGUGGCAGAAGUGACUGCUGAGUCUUACAGGGCCUGGAAGGACCAUGCCACAAUGCCAGUCCUCAAGGCUCACACCUCAGACAGGGGUUCCUUGGUGUGGGGUUGGUCAGGGACGACCAUUCCAGCACUAGAGGACUGUCUGAGGAAGUCCAUGACCCCUGGGUAAUGUGGCAGAGCUUGGCUGCUGGGGGACGGGAAGGGCAGAACCUCCAGGAGUUGAGCACCUGCUGCCUUUACCAAGAUCAGCAUCUCUCUGCACCCUCGCCCCUGUCCACAAGCCCCAGCUGGCCUGGGCUCCUUCCACCUCACUGACUCAGGCUUUCUGAGCUCUAACAUCAAAUGGCAGGGGAACUGCCCAGCUUGGGUUGGAUCAAUCCCAGGGCCUAGGGACUGCUGACAUGCCCCACCCUCACCAAUCCACUCUUAAGCAGAGCCUGUGGCUGGAGGCAGACUAUCUAGAAAGAGUUCAUUUGGGGAGCUCCAAACAGUAUUAUCCCCAUUUUACAAUUCAGUUAAUGGAGGCCCGUAAAGCAUUCAGACACCAGGUGCAGCCGUGUUGGCCAGGUGACCUGGGCUAGGUGAUAUGACCUCUCUGAUUCUCCUGGUCUUCUCUGUGAAGUGCAGGUGAUAAUACCUACUGGGGUCCAUGCCCUGAGUGAUACUGGGUAUCUAGGGAGGCAGCAAACAAAGACAGAUAUUGUUCACAUCAAUGCUACUGCUCGGAGAGGCUAGAGGCUUUAUUCAAGAUCACACAGCUAGUAAGAAACAGUCAAAACUGAGGCAAGUUGAUGCAGUUAGGGAGGGGGACAUACAGGCAGAUGACCUGGGUGGGAGUGGGCAUGCCAGGGAAAGCAGGUGGUACAGUGCAUUUGGUGGAGGACAAGGUCAGGGUGACCAUAGGUCUGGGGAAAGAGAACAGGAAGCAGGUCAGGAGGGAUUUACAGAGGUCUUGCAAGUCAAACAAAGAAACCUUGGGGUUAGGCCCAGGCAGUGGGAGCCAGGGAGGGCCCCUGGGCAGAAGAAGUUCUGCCUAUUCUUUAGAAACGAUAGAGUCAAGCAAGAAUAGCAGGUAUCACCUGUGAUCCCAGUGACUCAGGAGGCUGAGGAGGAUCCCAAGUUUUUCAAAGCCAGCCUCAACUUAGUAAAGCCUUAAGCAAGUUAGGGAGACCUUGUCUCAAAUAUUAUAAAGGCUGGGGAUGUAACUCAAUGGUUAAGUGCCCCUGGAUUCAAUCCCCAGUACCAAAAAAAUUAAAACAAUCAGACAAGGUUGAGGGUGUAGUUCAGUGGUAGUGUUUUCCUGGCAUGCACGAGGCCCUAGGUUUGAACCCCAACACCGCACAGACACAAAAGAGUUGAGACAGGCUACAGGGAGCCCCGGGCCACAGUUGGUCCCUAAGAGGAUGGCUGGCCCCAGGGUAGGAGGGGCAGCUGGGCUGGAAUCUGCUAUCUGUGCUGUCCAUUGAGGGACUCCUGUGUCCAUUUCACUCAUUCCAUCAGCAGAGGAUCUGCCAGUGUCUGCUUCAAGCUCCUCCUCAGCUGGGUCACAAAGAUGUGUGCCCUGUAAUUAAAUGAGAUGACACACUUCACUCAUGGUAAGUGACCCCGUACUCACCAAUUAUGGAGCAUUUCUAACCUAGCUGGAAGGACUGCAGUCAGGGAGGGCUUCCUGGGGGAGUAUCUGAUGUCAGCCCUUCUCUUGUGGCUAAUGGGGAGCCACAGACAGGCCUAGAGCGAGGGAAUGCUUUGCAUUCACACAGAUCAACCUCUACACCCUAAAAGUUGUGGAGUAUAUGGGUCACCACCCUCUCCCUUUCCCUCCCGAUCCUUUCGUAGCUUAAUUUUUAAUGUUUAACUUUUCAGUCCAUCCAGACUUUUUAAAAAGUACACAUUUUUGAUAUUUUCAAACAUACUCAGAAGUAGAGAGAAGAGUAUGAUACCCUUGUACCCAGUAGAUGAAACUACCUCUAAAACCCUGUGGAGGGACACAGAACUGCCCUAUUUUAAUUCUAUCAAGUAAUAAUUUUCUUAAAUGGUGGUAUUCUGUCAUUUAUUAUUUAUUUAUUUUUAUGUGGUGCUGAGGAUUGAAUCCAGUGCCUCACACACGCUAGGCAAGUGCUCUACCACAGAAGUACCGCCCCAGCCCCUACCAAGUAACCAAAAAAUCCCAUGAUUUCAUCAAAGGACAUUUUAACUCAGACAUACACUCAGUAAAGAUGAGCUCUGAAUAAAGACUUUAAAUUGAG
rnacentral:lncRNA from 1 species